rnacentral:rRNA from 1 species
UACGGAGGAUGCAAGCGUUAUCCGGAAUGAUUGGGCGUAAAGCGUCCGCAGGUGGCAAUGUAAGUCUGCUGUCAAAGCGUCUGGCUCAACCAGAUAAAGGCAGUGGAAACUACAUAGCUAGAGUAAGGUAGGGGUAGAGGGAAUUCCUGGUGUAGCGGUGAAAUGCGUAGAGAUCAGGAAGAACACCGGUGGCGAAGGCGGUUCUCUGGGACGGUACUGACGCUGAGACGCGAAAGCGUGGGGAGCGAACAGG